AGUACUCCAGGUGUCCCUCAUUUCAUGUAUCACACUCCCCCUUGUGUCUCUGACUUAGUAUGUUACAUACCUUAUGGCCUUUCUGACUUCAUGUCACACUCCCUAUUGUGUCUCUGAGCUCUUGUGUCACACUCCCUUGCCAUCAAUAACAUCAUGUGUAACACUCCCCUUGGCAUCUCUGGCUCUGUGUGUAACACUCAACUUGGUGUCUCUGGCUUCAUGUGUAACUCUCCACAUGGCAUCUCUGACAUCGUGUGUAACACUCCACAUGGCAUCUCUGACUUCAUGUGUAACAACCUUCCUGGUGUCUCUGGCUCCAUUUGUAACACUUCCCAUAGUGUCUCUACCUUCCUUAUGUAAGACUUCACUUGGGGUGUCUGAUUUCAUUUAACACACACUCUGCUGUCUCUGACUUCAUGUGUAAUUCUCAAUUUUGCAUCUCUGACUUCAUGUGUAACUCUCCUACGUAGUGUCUCUGAAUUCGUGUAUCACAUUCCCCAUGUCAUCUGUCACUUCAUGUGUCAAAGAACACCUGGCAUCUCUGAAAUCGUCUACAACACUCCCACUGGCAUCUCUGACUUUGUGUGUCACAAUCCCCUGGCAUCUCAGACUUCCUCUCUAACAGUCACCCUGAUAUCUUUGACUUUGUGUGUAACAAUUCCCAUUGGUGUCUCUCAAUUUGUGUGUAACACUACCCUGGUGUCUGUGACUUCGUGUUAGCAUUCUUCAUUGUAUCUCUGACUUCAUGUGUCACGCUCCCCUGGCAUCUCUAAUUUCGUGUAUCACACUUCCCUGGCAUCUCGGAAUUCCUGUGUAACACUUCACUUGCCGUCUUUAACUUCAUGUGUCACACUACCCCUGGCAUCUCGAAAUUCGUGUGGUACACACCCCAUGCUGUGUCUGACUUCAUGUUUAAUACUCCAUAUGGCCCUUCUGCCUUUGUGUGUAACACUCCCCCAUGGUGUCACGGACUUCUUGUAUAACACUCCCACUGGUGUCUCUGAUUUCUUGUGUCACACUCCCCCUGCUGUUGAUCAUUUUGUGUGUCACUCUCCUUCUGGCAUCUGUGACUUUGUGGGUAAUAAUCCCAUUCGUAUCUAUGAGGUCAUGGGUUACAAUCCCUCUUGAAAAUCUAACUGCAUCUGUAACACUCCACCUGGAGUCUCUGACUUUGUGUGUCACACUCCCCAUGUUGUCUCUGAUUUCAUGUGUAACGCUCUGCCUGGUGAGUCUGUCUUCUUGUGUCAUACUCCUCCUGGUUUCUGUGGUUUCAUGUUUCACACACCCCGUGUCAUUUCUGACCAUGCAUAUCACUCCCACUGUUAUCUCUGACUACAUAUGUAGCACUCCACACAUGGCAUUUCUCCCUUCAAAUGAAACAUUCUCCAGUGUUGGCUCAGACUUCAUGUUUAGCUUUCCAUGUAUCAUUUCUGUUAGUGUGUCACACUCCCCCUGGUGUCUCACGCCACCUGUCAACUCUCACUUCAUGUGUCACAAACCUCUGGUCCUCUCAGAUUAGAUGUGUGACUCUCCCUCUUGGCAUCUGUGAAUUUAUGUGUCACACUCUCCCUGGGUCUUUGACUCUGUGUGUACCACUCUCUCUGGUGUCUCUGAUUUCAUGGUCACACUCCUCAUGGUGUCUCUUUCAUCUGUGACUUCGUGUAUCACAUUCACUGUAGCCACUCUGACUGUCUGAGUAACACUCCCCCUUGUCUCUUUGACUUCAUGUCUAACACUCCCCUGUGUCAUCUCUGACAUGGUGUAACAGUUUCCUUGUUGUCUCUGACUUCAUGUGAAACAUUUACAGUGGCGUCUCUGAUUUGUUUGUCACAAACCCCAUGAUGUGAAAGACUUUAUGCUUAAAAAUCUCCUGCGGCAUCUAUGACUUUGUGUGUCAUAGUUCUGUAUCAUUUCAGGAUUCAUUUGCCACUCUCAGUCGGAUGCCUUUGACUUGGUGCAUAUCGCUGUCCCUUGACAUCUCUGACUUUGUGUGUCACACACUGCUGGUCUUCUCUGAAUUCGUGUGACACUCUCUCCCUGAUGUCUUUGAGUUCUUGUGUAACACUCCUCCUGGUGUUAUUAACUUCAUGCAUAACACUCACCCUGUCGUUGUUACGGAACCUGAAGUGAGUUUGCUCACCUGUUGCGCAGCAAGCCAAUCUCUGACACCAGGGAUGGUGGAAGAAAGUAGGAAUUUUAUUUUUGCACAGCGCUGAGCAAGGAGAGAGGGCAACUAACGCUGAAAUCCCAA
rnacentral:lncRNA from 1 species